AACGUAGGUCACAAGCGUUGUCCGGAAUUACUGGGUGUAAAGGGAGCGCAGGCGGGUGAUCAAGUUGGAAGUGAAAUCCAUGGGCUCAACCCAUGAACUGCUUUCAAAACUGAUUGUCUUGAGUAGUGCAGAGGUAGGCGGAAUUCCCGGUGUAGCGGUGGAAUGCGUAGAUAUCGGGAGGAACACCAGUGGCGAAGGCGGCCUACUGGGCACCAACUGACGCUGAGGCUCGAAAGUGUGGGUAGCAAACAGG
rnacentral:rRNA from 1 species